CGCUCCUUGCCUCGCAAGGGGAGGAAAGUCCGGGCUCCAUAGGGCAGAGUGCCAGGUAACGCCUGGGAGAUGAAAGUCUACGGAAAGUGCCACAGAAAAUAUACCGCCUCCGGCUUAGCCAGAGGUAAGGGUGAAAUGGUGCGGUAAGAGCGCACCGCGCGUCUGGCAACAGGCGUGGCAGGGAAAACCCCACUCGGAGCAAGACCAAAUAGGAAUCCAUCCGGUGAGAACCGGCACAUGCGGCCCGCAUGGGAUUCGGGUAGGUCGCUUGAGGCUUGUGGUGACACAAGUCCCAGAUGAAUUAUUGUCCACG
rnacentral:RNase_P_RNA from 1 species